UGCGACCCCAGGUCAGGCGGGGACUACCCGCUGAGUUUAAGCAUAUCA
rnacentral:rRNA from 1 species